rnacentral:rRNA from 1 species
AGAUUGAACGCUGGCGGCGUGCUUAACACAUGCAAGUCGUGCGGUAACAGGCGUAGCAAUACGUGCUGACGAGCGGCGAACGGGUGCGUAAUACAUGGGAAUCUGCCUUUUAGUGGGGAAUAACCCGGCGAAAGCCGGGCUAAUGCCGCAUAAGAUCUUCGGAUGAAAGCGGGGGAUCGUAAGACCUCGCGCUGAUAGAUGAGCCCAUGCCGGAUUAGCUAGUUGGUGAGGUAACGGCUCACCAAGGCGACGAUCCGUAGCUGGUCUGAGAGGACGGCCAGCCACACUGGGACUGAGACACGGCCCAGACUCCUACGGGAGGCAGCAGUGGGGAAUAUGGACAAUGGGGGAAACCCUGAUCCAGCGACGCCGCGUGUGUGAAGAAGGCCUGGCGGGUUGUAAAGCUA